rnacentral:misc_RNA from 1 species
GAUGAAGAACGUAGCGAAACGCGAUAUUUCUUGUGAAUUGCAGAAGUGAAUCAUCAGUUUUUGAACGCCCAUUGCACUUUGGGGUAUCCCCCAAAGUAUACUUGUUUGAGCGUUGUUUCUCUCUUGGAAUUGCUUUGCUCUUCUAAAAUUUCGAAUCAAAUUCGUUUGAAAAACAACACUAUUCAACCUCAGAUCAAGUAGGAUUACCCGCUGAACUUAAGCAUAUCAAUAAGCGGAGGA